rnacentral:rRNA from 1 species
UACGGAGGGUGCAAGCGUUACUCGGAUUUAUUGGGCGUAAAGGGCAGGUAGGUGGUCUUAUUUGUCUGAGGUGAAAGCCUUGAGCUUAACUCAAGAAGUGCCUCAGAAACGGUAAGACUAGAGUUCUAGAGAGGGUCGUGGAAUUCCCGGUGUAGCGGUGAAAUGCGUAGAGAUCGGGAGGAACACCAGAGGCGAAGGCGGCGACCUGGAUAGAUACUGACACUAAACUGCGAAAGCGUGGGGAGCAAACAGG